AGUCUGCUUCUCACUGCCUUCCUUCUAGCACCCAGUAAAGGAACCAGACAGCCUCUUUCACAGCAGAGGCUCCCAGCAUCUCUGAGCUGAGGCUCUCUAAUGUGUGCAGCUUUGUUCUAGUUUCAUGGCUUGAGUGGGAACCACAUGACUUGGCUCUGCUAGCUGAGAAACUACUUCUCCCCUGUGGGGCAUUGGGCUAUGCAAAGACAGUCUGGUCUCUAGUCAAGCUGAAGUGGAACCCCGGGACCUGGUGGUGAUAAUUCAUCUACAUGGGAUGGAAGGAGUUCUCUCAUGUCACCUAGAACCCUGGCUCCUGUCGAAGUUAUCGCCCCCUUAGCCCCAACAAGAGAAGCAUGGUUAGUAGUCAUGUGGGGCAGUGUCCCAAGCUUCUGACCUUCAGGUUAGACAUCUCCCCAGUUACCUAGCAACAGAAAAGAUAGCAGCAUACUUUAAGAGGGGCUGUUUGGCCCCUUCUCACUCUCACUCCUCUUGCUCUUACUCCUCUUACUCCCCUUACUCUCUUCUCCUCUCUCUCCCUCUUACUCUCUAGCCUUUCUUCUCUCUCUCCCUUUCCUCUUUGUCUCUUCUUGGCCAUGGCUGGUCUCUCUCUCUCUCUUUUACCUUCUCUCCUUUCUCCCUGCCUUUCUAUAAUAAAGCUCUGUCUCUGUUCAUCUGCGAUUACUCUCACCUCCGUGGAAACCUCUCUCCCUAUGCCCUCUCUCCCAUAACCCUGGGGCUACAGGGUGUCGUCCCUAGUGCCCCGAUUGGGGGCUUUCCCUUGUACCCCCCCCCCCCCCAUCAAGAGGGGUCAGUGGCCCUGGCCGAGUGGAAAGCAUCUGGCAGCCUUCCCAUGUCUGCCUGCCCAGAGCAUAGGAGGAACUCUGGCCAGCUGUGGGCUAUCCCCCCUCCCCCCUCUUCCCCAGUCCCCUUUUUAGUUACCACACUCCUCUCCUCCUAGACUUAUAUCAAUUGUGUGUGUGUGUGUGUCCAUCUGUGCCUGGAGCUGACCAUGUGCCAAACCUCUCGUACCCAAAUUCCUCCCAGAGAGAAUUGGUCUCCCAGGAGUGCAGACACACAGGCUUAUAGGAGAGACAAGCUACAAUCAGAGACAGCAAGACCAGCUAACACCAGAGAUAACCAGAUGGCAAGAGGCAAGUGCAAGAACAUAAGCAACAGAAACCAAGUCUACUUGGCAUCAUCAGAACACAGUUCUCCCACCACAGAAAGCCCUGGAAACUCCAACACACCUGAAAAGCAAGACUCUGAUUUAAAAAUCACAUCUCAUGAUGAUGAUAGGGGUUUUAAAGAAGGACAUAAAUAACUCCCUUAAAGAAACACAGAAGAACACAGGUAAACAGCUAGAAGCCCUUAAAGAGGUAACAAACGUCCCU
rnacentral:lncRNA from 1 species